rnacentral:rRNA from 1 species
UUAGAUCCCUGGUAGUCCACGCCGUAAACGAUGAAUAUUAGGUUCGGAAAGCAAAGCUUUUCGGUGCCGCAGCAACGCAUUUAAUAUUUCCACCUGGGGAGUACGUUCGCAAGAAUGAAACUCAAAGGAAUGACGGGGGACCNGCACAAGCGGUGGAGCAUGUGGUNUAUUCGAAGCAACGCGAAGAACCUUANCAGGUCUUGACAUCCCUCUGACCGGGAUUUAAUCAUCCCUUUCCUUCGGGACAGAGGAGACAGGUGGUGCAUGGUUGUCGUCAGCUCGUGUCGUGAGAUGUUGGGUUAAGUCCCGCAACGAGCGCAACCCUUACCUUCAGUAGCCAGCGGUUCGGCCGGGCACUCUGGAGGGACUGCCAGGGAUAACCUGGAGGAAGGUGGGGAUGACGUCAAAUCAUCACGCCCCUUAUGAUCUGGGCUACACACGUGCUACAAUGGCGUAAACAAAGGGAAGCGAGACAGUGAUGGCAAGCAAAUCUCAGAAAUAACGUCUCAGUUCGGAUUGCAGUCUGCAACUCGACUGCAUGAAGCUGGAAUCGCUAGUAAUCGCGAAUCAGAAUGUCGCGGUGAAUACGUUCCCGGGUCUUGUACACACCGCCCGUCACACCAUGGGAGUUGACAACGCCCGAAGUCAGUGACCCAACCGAAAGGAGGGAGCUGCCGAAGGCGGGGUUGAUAACUGGGGUGAAGUCGUAACAA